UGCCAGCCGCCGCGGUAAUACGUAGGGGGCAAAUGUUGCUCGGAAUCACUGGGCGUAAAGGGUGUGUAGGUGGCUUUGCAAGUCAGAGGUGAAAGCCCAGAGCUCAACUCUGGAAUUGCCUUUGAAACUGCAAAGCUUGAGGGCAGGAGAGGGAAGCGGAAUUCCCGGUGGAGCGGUGAAAUGCGUAGAUAUCGGGAGGAACACCAGUAGCGAAGGCGGCCACCUGGCUCAUUUCUGACGCUGAGGCGCGAGAGCGUGGGGAGCAAACAGGAUUAGAUA
rnacentral:rRNA from 1 species